UACGUAGGGUGCGAGCGUUGUCCGGAAUUAUUGGGCGUAAAGGGCUCGUAGGCGGUUUGGCGCGUCGGGGGUGAAAACCAGGUGCUUAACACCUGGAUUGCUUUCGAUACGGGCAGACUAGAGGUAUGCAGGGGAGAACGGAAUUCCUGGUGUAGCGGUGAAAUGCGCAGAUAUCAGGAGGAACACCGGUGGCGAAGGCGGUUCUCUGGGCAUUACCUGACGCUGAGGAGCGAAAGUGUGGGGAGCGAACAGG
rnacentral:rRNA from 1 species